GACGAACGCUGGCGGCGUGCUUAACACAUGCAAGUCGAACGAGAGCGUAGAGAAAGUUUGCUUUUUCUACAAUCUAGUGGCAAACGGGUGAGUAACGCGUAAACAACCUGCCCUACGGAUGGGGACAACAGCUGGAAACGCCUACUAAUACCGAAUACGUUCCGAAAGUCGCAUGACUAUCAGAAGAAAGGAUGGCCUCUCUUUAUAAGCUAUCGCCGGAGGAGGGGUUUGCGUCUGAUUAGCUAGUUGGAGGGGUAACGGCCCACCAAGGGGACGAUCAGUAGCCGGACUUGGAGGAUGAACAGCCACAAUGGGACUGGGACCCGGUCCAGACUCCUACGGGAGGGAGCAGUGAGGAAUCUUCCGGAAUGGGGGGAAAGCUGACGGAGCAACGCCGGGGGAGUGAAGAAGGCCUUCGGGUUGUAAAGCUCUGUUAUACGGGACGAAAAAUCUUGUGAUUAAUACCCAUGAGAAGUGACGGUACCGUAUGAGAAAGCCACGGCUAACUACGUG
rnacentral:rRNA from 1 species